UACAAAUCCCCUCCUCCUCCUUCGCCGGUCUACUAUUACAAAUCCCCGCCUCCACCACCAUACUAUUACAAGUCCCCACCUCCACCUCCGCCUAAGUAUUACUACAAGUCGCCCCCACCACCGUCUCCAUACUAUUACAAAUCCCCGCCCCCUCCACCGUACUAUUACAAAUCCCCACCACCACCUCCCUACAAAUACGAAUCGCCGCCGCCUCCUCCUUACAAAUACGAGUCCCCACCUCCACCACCUUACUAUUACAAGUCCCCACCACCACCUCCAUACAAAUAUGAAUCCCCGCCACCUCCAGUCUACAAAUAUGAGUCUCCGCCACCCCCAGUUUACAAAUACAAGUCGCCACCACCACCAUACAAGUACGAGUCACCACCACCACCUCCAUACAAGUAUGAAUCCCCGCCACCUCCACCUUAUUACUACAAGUCCCCUCCACCACCACCAUACAAGUACGAGUCGCCACCACCUCCUCCGUACAAGUAUGAAUCUCCACCACCACCAGUUUACAAAUACAAGUCACCUCCGCCGCCACCUUAUUACUACAAAUCCCCACCGCCACCUCCAUACAAGUACGAGUCUCCACCUCCUCCUCCGUACAAGUAUGAAUCUCCACCACCACCACCUUAUUACUACAAAUCCCCCCCGCCACCUCCAUACAAGUACGAGUCACCGCCUCCUCCUCCGUACAAGUAUGAAUCUCCACCACCGCCAGUUUACAAAUACAAGUCACCCCCGCCACCACCUUAUUACUACAAAUCCCCGCCACCACCUCCAUACAAGUACGAGUCUCCACCUCCUCCUCCGUACAAGUAUGAAUCUCCACCACCACCUCCUUAUUACUACAAAUCCCCGCCGCCACCUCCCUACAAGUAUGAAUCCCCGCCACCACCUCCCUACAAAUACGAGUCACCUCCACCACCACCUUACUAUUACAAAUCUCCUCCACCGCCUCCAUACAAGUAUGAGUCGCCACCACCACCAGUCUACAAAUACGAGUCUCCGCCACCCCCAGUUUACAAAUACAAGUCGCCCCCUCCACCUUAUUACUACAAGUCUCCGCCACCCCCGCCAUACAAAUAUGAAUCCCCACCUCCACCUCCCUACAAGUAUGAAUCGCCUCCUCCUCCACCUUACUACUACAAGUCCCCUCCACCACCUCCCUACAAAUAUGAAUCCCCGCCACCACCUCCCUAUAAAUACGAGUCACCACCACCACCACCUUACUAUUACAAAUCUCCUCCACCGCCUCCAUACAAGUAUGAGUCGCCACCACCACCUCCCUACAAAUACGAGUCACCACCACCACCACCUUACAAGUAUGAAUCCCCACCUCCACCUCCGUACAAGUAUGAAUCACCUCCACCGCCUCCAUACAAGUAUGAAUCCCCUCCUCCACCUCCCUACAAAUACGAGUCACCACCCCCACCACCUUAUUACUACAAAUCGCCUCCGCCACCGGAGUAUCAAUCAC
rnacentral:lncRNA from 1 species